rnacentral:rRNA from 1 species
GAUGAACGCUGGCGGCGUGCCUAAUACAUGCAAGUCGAGCGAACGGACGAGAAGCUUGCUUCUCUGAUGUUAGCGGCGGACGGGUGAGUAACACGUGGAUAACCUACCUAUAAGACUGGGAUAACUUCGGGAAACCGGAGCUAAUACCGGAUAAUAUUUUGAACCGCAUGGUUCAAAAGUGAAAGACGGUCUUGCUGUCACUUAUAGAUGGAUCCGCGCUGCAUUAGCUAGUUGGUAAGGUAACGGCUUACCAAGGCAACGAUGCGUAGCCGACCUGAGAGGGUGAUCGUCCACACUGGAACUGAGACACGGUCCAGACUCCUACGGGAGGCAGCAGUAGGGAAUCUUCCGCAAUGGGCGAAAGCCUGACGGAGCAACGCCGCGUGAGUGAUGAAGGUCUUCGGAUCGUAAAACUCUGUUAUUAGGGAAGAACAUAUGUGUAAGUAACUGUGCACAUCUUGACGGUACCUAAUCAGAAAGCCACGGCUAACUACGUG